rnacentral:miRNA from 14 species
UUGUGGGAUUCCUAACAGUGGGAGUGGGGCCUGUCUCUGGUUCUGCUGCCUGCCUUUGGCACCCUUU